AGGACGAACGCUGGCGGCGUGCUUAACACAUGCAAGUCGAGCGGAAAGGCCCUUCGGGGUACUCGAGCGGCGAACGGGUGAGUAACACGUGAGUAACCUGCCCUUGGCUCUGGGAUAGCUCCGGGAAACCGGAAUUAAUACCGGAUAUGACUUCGGCCGACAUCGGCUGCGGUGGAAAGAUUUAUCGGCCAGGGAUGGGCUCGCGGCCUAUCAGCUUGUUGGUGGGGUAACGGCCUACCAAGGCGACGACGGGUAGCCGGCCUGAGAGGGCGACCGGCCACACUGGGACUGAGACACGGCCCAGACUCCUACGGGAGGCAGCAGUGGGGAAUAUUGCGCAAUGGGCGAAAGCCUGACGCAGCGACGCCGCGUGGGGGAUGAAGGCCUUCGGGUUGUAAACCCCUUUCGGCAGGGACGAAGCGAAAGUGACGGUACCUGCAGAAGAAGCGCCGGCUAACUACGCGCCAGCAGCCGC
rnacentral:rRNA from 1 species